rnacentral:tRNA from 1 species
UCCUCGGUAGUAUGGUGGUAAGUAUUCCCGUUUGUCACGCAGGAGCCCAGGGUUCGAUUCCUCGCCGGGGAU